UUAUUGAAUGGCUGAAAUUAAUAAGCAUUGGUCUCUUAAACCAUAAUAUAGUAAAUUUACUUUCAAUUAA
rnacentral:tRNA from 1 species